rnacentral:rRNA from 1 species
CUAAGGGGAGCGGUAACUGGGAGAGGUGAUCGGAGCUCGGAUAAUUCGACACGAGAUCGGAUAAUUGGUGAGUAACACGUGAGCAAUCUGCCCCUGACUCUGGGAUAACAGCUGGAAACAGCUGCUAAUACCGGAUACGAGCUGCGAAGGCAUCUUCAGCAGCUGGAAAGAACUUCGGUCAGGGAUGAGCUCGCGGCCUAUCAGCUUGUUGGUGAGGUAACGGCUCACCAAGGCGUCGACGGGUAGCCGGCCUGAGAGGGUGACCGGCCACACUGGGACUGAGACACGGCCCAGACUCCUACGGGAGGCAGCAGUGGGGAAUAUUGCACAAUGGGCGAAAGCCUGAUGCAGCAACGCCGCGUGAGGGACGACGGCCUUCGGGUUGUAAACCUCUUUUAGCAGGGAAGAAGCGAAAGUGACGGUACCUGCAGAAAAAGCACCGGCUAACUACGUGCCAGCAGCCGCGGUAAUACGUAGGGUGCAAGCGUUAUCCGGAAUUAUUGGGCGUAAAGAGCUCGUAGGCGGUUUGUCGCGUCUGCUGUGAAAACUGGAGGCUCAACCUCCAGCCUGCAGUGGGUACGGGCAGACUAGAGUGCGGUAGGGGAGAUUGGAAUUCCUGGUGUAGCGGUGGAAUGCGCAGAUAUCAGGAGGAACACCGAUGGCGAAGGCAGAUCUCUGGGCCGUAACUGACGCUGAGGAGCGAAAGGGUGGGGAGCAAACAGGCUUAGAUACCCUGGUAGUCCACCCCGUAAACGUUGGGAACUAGUUGUGGGGUCCAUUCCACGGAUUCCGUGACGCAGCUAACGCAUUAAGUUCCCCGCCCGGGGAGUACGGCCGCAAGGCUAAAACUCAAAGGAAUUGACGGGGACCCGCACAAGCGGCGGAGCAUGCGGAUUAAUUUGAUGCAACGCGAAGAACCUUACCAAGGCUUGACAUAUACGAGAACGGGCCAGAAAUGGUCAACUCUUUGGACACUCGUAAACAGGUGGUGCAUGGUUGUCGUCAGCUCGUGUCGUGAGAUGUUGGGUUAAGUCCCGCAACGAGCGCAACCCUCGUUCUAUGUUGCCAGCACGUAAUGGUGGGAACUCAUGGGAUACUGCCGGGGUCAACUCGGAGGAAGGUGGGGAUGACGUCAAAUCAUCAUGCCCCCUAUGUCUUGGGCUUCACGCAUGCUACAAUGGCCGGUACAAAGGGCUGCAAUACCGUAAGGUGGAGCGAAUCCCAAAAAGCCGGUCCCACGUUCGGAUUGAGGUCUGCAACUCGACCUCAUGAAGUCGGAGUCGCUAGUAAUCGCAGAUCAGCAACGCUGCGGUGAAUACGUUCCCGGGUCUUGUACACACCGCCCGUCAAGUCAACAACGUCGCUGCACCUACCCCAGGGCCCCCCCCCUCCACCGUCACCCCGUCCCCCCCCCC